AGGCGCGGUAAUACGGAGGGGGCAAGCGUUGUCAGGAUUGAUUGGGCGUAAAGCGCUCGCAGGUGGUUCGUCGCGUCGUGCGUGAAAGACCCCGGCUCAACUGGGGGAGGUCGUGCGAUACGGGCGGACUGGAGGCCAGUAGGGGGAUGCGGAAUUCCGGGUGUAGUGGUGGAAUGCGUAGAGAUCCGGAGGAACACCAGCGGCGAAGGCGGCAUCCUGGACUGGUCCUGACACUCAUGAGCGAAAGCGUGGGGAGCGAUC
rnacentral:rRNA from 1 species